GACAACCUUGUCACCGCUGGUGACCAGCAAUUCCAUUAUUCCUCUGAUUAAAUUACAGAAGGACAUGUGCGGUAGGAGAGGUGCAAACCGCAACAACAACAAGCCUGCAUAUAGAAUAGAGACGGACCAAAAGAAAAAAGAUGGUGAGGGAAAGAUAGCGAGCAAACAACCAACGAGGACUGGCACCUCAGUACCACGGAAAAGAGAGACAGAGAGCGACGACGCAGAGCCAAAGACGCCGCAAAGGGCAAUCACGCCAGAUGCGUAUAACAUUAUUUAAGUAUAAUAAAUAUUGCAAAGCCAGCGCCAUUUAUACUACAAAUUAUAACGCAAAUUACAAUUAGCCCAAAUACACCACAAUUCAACUUGUGGAUUUGCCGCGCUUUGUAAUAACGUCGUCGCCAUAUUGGCGGAGUGAUAUGCGACAACGCCCGAAAAUAGGGACCUCAGGGAGAGAAGGCAAGCGUCGCCAUAUUACGAGUCAGUCGGUUACAGACUGAGCUCGGAGUCGGACCUAUGCCACCGGGUAUAUGUCGUAUGAUGCAAUGUUGCAUCAUCUCGCGCGCGAAGCGAACAGUAGAGCUAUUAAAUAAGAACAUUGUAAAUAGUGACUAGGGACCGAUUGUACUUUUGUUUUCCUUUAUUAUUACGUGUGUGCAAUAAACAUUAUCUUAUGUGAACCGGCAUAAUUCAUUUGCGCAACAAACGAUGAUAAGUCCCGUUCCCAUGUCACUACCUAAAACAAGAAGUGCAUAGACGUUGAACGCAGUGCAUUAUUCAUUACAAUCCGACUUAGGGCCUGAGCAGAAUGGCUGCCUUAUAACCUUAAGACAAGUUUUAUGACUUAAGUCUUUGUCUUUAGGAACGCACAAUAAUUAUCUUAUGUCUUAUGUCUCAAGCAGUCUCAAGGGGCCAGUGAGGUGUUUAUCGUUACGAAGAAUAUUACGUAUUUAAACAUAAAAGUUUGCUGUAAAUCCUGGCACGUUGUGCAAUUGACAAAGCUCGUCCCAGCACCUCGCCAGCAGCAAUUCGACGGGAUUGACGAAGGAAUUUUCGAGGCCGACGCCGCCCGUCAUCAGGAACAUCAUCAAGAGCUGACUCUGCUUGUUCAGCAAGUUCAUAGUGGUUCACAGAUAGCAGGAGCGAGAAAAGCAGCUUGUAGUUCUCGAAAAGCGAGCAGCAUAUAUUGAUUUUUUUAUAGGAAAUUGUAAAAAAUUUUAAGUAUUAAAUGAAGAAAGAUAAAAUAUUUUGGUCAAUUAUUUUAUAUUGGAUACUUUUAUAUAAAUUAUUAAAACGUAAAAAAAAACAAAUAAGAUGGUAUAAUAGAAGAUGGCGUGUGAGACCUGUAAAUCAAAUAAGACAUUUAUAUGGCGAUUAUGAAAUACUUUUUCAACACUUAAAAAAUGAUGAAACUUUAUUUUUUCGUUACACAAGGAUGAGUUUGCCAUUGUUUAAUAAACUAGUUUAAUUAACUGAACCUUAUUUAAGAAAAAAUAGUUAUCGAGCACUUCCUGCAGAACAAAGACUGCUAAUAGUAUUAAGGUAAUAAAGCAAUUUUCUUAUCUGUGUUUGAAAAAAAUUACAUCCUUUAUAAAGUACAAAUAAACACAAGUUUUGUAAUAGGCACAUUUGACAGAUAAAAAAUUAGUUUAGGGCAAUUUUGUUAAAUAUUGAAUUAUUAGUAUUUAUUUUUUUAAGAAUCUGUUGAUUGGUAAAAAAUAAAAUAGUAUAUACUUAAACAUUGUGCAGAAUAAUUAACUAUUUGUUUUGAAAUGUGCCUUGAUAGUGAUUUUUUAUUAUAAUCAAUGUUAAUAAUAUAGGUAUUGAAACAAAUGUUUGUUAGAUAUCUUGCCACUGGAGAUCUUCCCUUAUCUAUUGCUCUAGCUUUUCGCAUUGGUGAAUCGACAGUGCGUAUGUUAAUUAAAGAAGUAUGUCAGGUUUUAAUAAAUGUAUUACAACCAAUAUAUAUGUCACCACCAAAUGAAGAAGAAUGGAAAUGUUAUGCUGAAGGUUUUUGGAAAAGAUGGAAUAUGCCAAAUUGUGUGGGAGCAGUCGACGGCAAACACAUUACUUUGCAAUGUCCCCCUAAUUCAGGAAGUCUUUUCUUUAAUUAUAAAAAAUAUUACAGUAUUGUCUUGAUGGCAGUAGCUAACCAUGUAUAUAGAUUCACGUUAGUAGAUGUUGGUGCUUAUGGUGGUAACAGCGAUGGCGGAAUUUUCAAUGAGUCAUUAAUUGGAGAAAAUCUGAAAAAUGAAAAUUUAAAUCUACCAAAAGGGACUUUCGAAUUACCUGGCAGUCAAGAUCGUACAUCAACUUUUUUUUUAGCAGAUGAUGCUUUUUCACUAAGUACUAGAAUUAUGAAGCCAUACACAGGAAGAAAUUUAGACGAAAAACAAAAGAUAUGCAACUACAGAUUUUCUCGCGCUAGAAGAAUAGUCGAAAGUGCCUUUGGAAUAGUGCCUUUUCGAACAGAUGGAGGAUAUUUCGACAGUCUAUUUGCAUGCUACCAGAAGCUGCUGAUAUAAUAAUUACAGCAUCGCUUUGUUGCAUAAUUUUUUAAUUGAAGAAGAACAUAAAUGUAAACAAAAGUUAUAUAGUACAAAUCAAUUUCUUGAAAAUUGCGAAAAUGAACAAGAAAUGCGAUGGAUGUCUUUAUCAGAAAAUCAAUGUGAUGAAACCGUGUCUUCUGCUUCAAAACAAAGAGAUAUACUGUGUAAUUAUUUUAUGUCACCUACAGGAGAAGUUCCAAUGGCAAUACGAUUACGUGCGAAGGGGUGCAUACAGUGAAAAUGUUUAACCUGAAAAAUAAUUUAUGUAUACGUCAAUUUUAAUUAUUUAUAUACCUAUUAUUUUCAUUUUUUAUUAAAUCUUAUUUUUUUUACAAAACAUUAAAAUAAUGGAGCAAAGUAUCAAAAAUUAUAAUGCAAUAGUUUAAUAAUAUAUUCCAGAGAGAGUUUAAUUUAGAUUACUUUUAUUCUUGCAAAAUAAAAUUUUUUUAUUGUCGACAUUGUAUCUGUGUUAAAUUAUAUUGCAUAAUACUAAUUGCAGUCUAGUUGAUGCUACAAAUGUUACGUAACGUAUAACAAUAAAAAAAAUUUCAUAAUUAACUAAAAAGUCAGUGUUCAAAAAUUACUUCAAAACAUUUGUAGCGUCAGGUACAUCGUGUAGGAAGUCUUUACUUUAAUUAUAAAAAGCACUACAGUAAACGAUCUUUACUGUAAUAUUUUUUAUAAUUAAAGAAGACUUCCUGAACAUACUAUAUUUUAUCAAUUGUAUUAUAUUUAUAACAAAACUUUGAAAUUGUUAUAUCGUAUAGUACCGUAAAUAAAAAUAAACAUUUACUUUUAAACAAAAAUAUAA